ACGGAGGGUGCAAGCGUUAUCCGGAUUUACUGGGUUUAAAGGGUGCGUAGGUGGGCAGGUAAGUCAGUGGUGAAAUCUCCGAGCUUAACUCGGAAACUGCCAUUGAUACUAUUUGUCUUGAAUUAUCUGGAGGUGAGCGGAAUAUGUCAUGUAGCGGUGAAAUGCUUAGAUAUGACAUAGAACACCAAUUGCGAAGGCAGCUCACUACGGAUAUAUUGACACUGAGGCACGAAAGCGUGGGGAUCAAACAGGAUUAGAUACCCUGGUAGUCCACGCCCUAAACGAUGGAUACUCGACAUCAGCGAUACACUGUUGGUGUCUGAGCGAAAGCAUUAAGUAUCCCACCUGGGAAGUACGAUCGCAAGAUU
rnacentral:rRNA from 1 species